rnacentral:rRNA from 1 species
UACGUAGGUGGCAAGCGUUGUCCGGAAUUAUUGGGCGUAAAGCGCGCGCAGGUGGUUCCUUAAGUCUGAUGUGAAAGCCCACGGCUCAACCGUGGAGGGUCAUUGGAAACUGGGGAACUUGAGUGCAGAAGAGGAAAGUGGAAUUCCACGGUGUAGCGGUGAAAUGCGUAGAGAUGUGGAGGAACACCAGUGGCGAAGGCGACGUUUCUGGUCUGUAACUGACACUGAGGCGCGAAAGCGUGGGGAGCGAACAGG